GCUGGACUCCAUUAGCAUUCCACCCAGAGCCCUGCGCAGGGCCGCUGGCUGCAGGCAUUUCAAAUCUGCGGGUGCGAGAGUUGCUGGCCGCCCUCCCGAGGCAAUCUAGAUGUGGGUAGAUUGAAAUCCUCAACUGCUCCCCUCUGCUAACAAGAGAAGUAAAUCACCUUUGAGAAACCAAUUAUGGUCCUGUAAUAGCAUCGCAGGCGCCGAGCCCCAAGUCAAAUAAGCCCACGCGCAGCCUGUGCCAACUGAACUCACGUUGGAGCGCCCCCAACAGGCCGAGCGGGGCGCGGGCUCCCCUGCAGGCUGCUGAGUAGCACCUCAUGGAACUGGUUUGUUGAACCUUUUGAGCCAGGCUGCACCGACCUGCAAUGGCUUUAUUUUUCUUCAAAUGCCACCUCUCAGCCACACUCAGUUGAAUCUCUUGUUUCUCUCCCUUUCAGCCAACCCCAUGGCUUUCCAAUCACUGGCUCUUAUUAUAAAGUCCAGGCGGGUCCGAUUUAAAAUUCUGCUUUCAUAUGCAGUUUCCUGCUGGCGCGAUACUUGGAGAUGCUGCUCUGAAAGCUCAAGAGGUAAAUUCGGGGGUGUCCUGGCCCUCCACAAUGAGUCUCUGGUGGAGAAGCUCUGCCCAGAAACUUAUCGGCUGUGUUACUUGGUGGAGAUAACUCGGCUUCUCUGAGUCUCAACCCUUUCUUCUCUCAAGGAGGAAAACGUCAUUUAUUCUGUCUACCCGCCGGGGCUGUGGGGAAAGAGCAAGAUGGGCGUUUUAGUCAGCUUUUUCGUCCCUGUGAUCGAAAGAGCUGACAAGAACAAUUUUAGAGGAGGAGAAGUUUAUCUGGGGCUCACGGCGGUGUCAGAGGUCUCAGUCCAGAGACGGCCAGCUCCAUAGCUCUAGGCCCGGGGUGAGGCAGAACAUCAAGGUGAGGGAUGUGGACGGGGGAAAGCAGCUCAGGACAGGGCCACCAGGAAGCAGAGAGCUCAGGUCAACUAGGACAGAAUAUAUAUCCCAAAGGCCGUCCCCGGAGACCGCCUCCUGCAGGCACACUCUGCCUGCGCUCAGUCCCCACUCGGUUCACCCCUGGGGGCGGGGAUGAAGGCACUGACCAGGUCAAGGCUCUCGCAACCCAGUCCCUUCCUCUGAGCUUCCCUGCACGGUCUCACGCGCGAGCUUUCCGGGGUCACCUCUGAGAAACUUAAGUGACUCCAUUUUUGAGAAACGAGCUUCUACCUCAGAGCAGGGCCUGUCCAAAGGUGGGGCGUGACCCUCGUCCUUGGAAAAACCCACAGAGCACUCCUAGGCACACAGCCACCCUGCUGAGUUGUUUGUAAGUAACAGGAGAAGCUGCCAGGUUGUCCCCGACUCAGUUACACUAGGUGAGGACCCCCAGCAACCCCCUAGCAACCACCAAUCAGCACGAGACAGGGAAAAUAUCUGAAAUGCCAGGUGGCCCUCCCAGUAGUUUCGGUGAUUGAUAACAGGAUUAGGCAACUCUGCAAGUUUAGCAUAUAAACUCUUGCAACCCCUGGAAGCCUAAACCAAUCAGUUCAAACGUAUCCACCACUUGUACUAACCAAUCACCCUUACCUGACUUGUUCCCGCCAAUGAACGUGCUAAUCAAUGUUAAGAAUUGUGUUUGAUUUUCCCGCUGUGUGAAAUGAUUUGCAUGUAAUGUUGUGAGGCAUAGAGUUUCCCCCCCAAAACUAUAAUCCUCACUGAACUAAAGGACUGUGGCUCACUCCCUGGGACUGCUGCGUAGGAAACGGUCGUGAGUCCAGGCUUGAGCCUGCAAUAAAGACUCUUGUGUGAUUGCAUCGGAUUUGGCUCCUGGAGGUCUACUGGGGUCCCACGAAUCUGGCAUUACAGCCUCCAUCCACGCCAUGGCUGCUGGCAACAGGCUCUCCAAGUCUGUCUGCUGUCGUCAUCCCUGGCCUUCAGUUUGGUGGCCUCUGCGCAGUCCUCAGUGGACAUGCGCCCAAGCCUUGUGCUCCUUCUGUAAUGCUGGGUCCCCAACCUGGGGAACCCAUAGGCCAUGGGGGUGCACGUCCCCGGAGCAGGUGGCAUGGAAGCACCCCAGACUGGAGCACAGGGCUCCCUGGGGCAGGGACACUAAGCGGAAGCCAUAAAGCAUGAGCAAGAGCCAGGGGACUGAGAUGGAGGGAGC
rnacentral:lncRNA from 1 species